GAUGAAGAACGCAGCGAAAUGCGAUAAGUAGUGUGAAUUGCAGAAUUCAGUGAAUCAUCGAAUCUUUGAACGCACAUUGCGCCCCUUGGUAUUCCAUGGGGCAUGCCUGUUCGAGCGUCAUUUGUACCUUCAAGCUCUGCUUGGUGUUGGGUGUUUGUCUCGCCUCUGCGUGUAGACUCGCCUUAAAACAAUUGGCAGCCGGCGUAUUGAUUUCGGAGCGCAGUACAUCUCGCGCUUUGCAUUCAUAACGACGACGUCCAAAAGUACAUUUUUACACUCUUGACCUCGGAUCAGGUAGGGAUACCCGCUGAACUUAAGCAUAUCAAUAAGCGGAGGA
rnacentral:misc_RNA from 1 species